rnacentral:tRNA from 1 species
AAGGCCUUAAGUUAAAACACAAACUAAUAACCUUCAAAGCUAUAAAUAAAGGAUUCCCUUUAGGCCUUG